rnacentral:rRNA from 1 species
UCUCUCUGAAUCUGCGAACGGCUCCGCAAACCAGUUGUAAACUAGAGCAAGUCAGUCCAGCGGGCUUCGGCCUCUGGGCGAUAUGGAUAACCCUGGUAAUUCUGAGGCUAAUACAAGACCGCAACACCGGGCAGACCAGCAAUGGAUGCUCGGGGAUGUGUGAUAUGGCUUGACGAAACCGGGAAUGGGCGCACAUCUUGACCGCCUUCAACAUGGAUCCGGGACUCCCCUCGGGGAACCUGGCCCUGGCGGCUCUUGCUGUGUGCUUCUGACCUAUCAACUAGACGGCAGCGUAACGGACAUGCUAUGGUGACAACGGGUACAGAGGAUUAGGGUUCGAUCCUGGAGAGUGGGCCUGAGAGAUU